GUCGGUAAAACUCGUGCCAGCCACCGCGGUUAUACGAGAGGCCCAAGUUGACAAAGCUCGGCGUAAAGCGUGGUUAAUAACAUGAAACACUAAAGCCGAACACCUUUAAGACCGUCAUACGUAUUUAAAGGCAGGAAGACCUACAACGAAAGUGGCUUUAAUAGAUAUGAACCUACGAAAGCUAGGAUACAAACUGGGAUUAGAUACCCCACUAUG
rnacentral:rRNA from 1 species